rnacentral:rRNA from 1 species
GAUGAACGCUGGCGGCGUGCCUAAUACAUGCAAGUCGAGCGAACGGACGAGAAGCUUGCUUCUCUGAUGUUAGCGGCGGACGGGUGAGUAACACGUGGAUAACCUACCUAUAAGACUGGGAUAACUUCGGGAAACCGGAGCUAAUACCGGAUAAUAUUUUGAACCGCAUGGUUCAAAAGUGAAAGACGGUCUUGCUGUCACUUAUAGAUGGAUCCGCGCUGCAUUAGCUAGUUGGUAAGGUAACGGCUUACCAAGGCAACGAUGCAUAGCCGACCUGAGAGGGUGAUCGGCCACACGGGAACUGAGACACAGUCCAGACUCCUACGGGAGGAAGCAGUAGGGAAUCUUCCGCGAUGGGCGAAAGCCUGACGGAGCAACGCCGCGUGAGUGAUGAAGGUCUUCGGAUCGUAAAACUCUGUUAUUAGGGAAGAACAUAUGUGUAAGUAACUGUGCACAUCUUGACGGUACCUAAUCAGAAAGCCACGGCUAACUACGUG